rnacentral:rRNA from 1 species
CAUCGCAUGGUGUGCUGGGAAAGCCUUUGCGGCAUGGGAUGGGGUCGCGUCCUAUCAGCUUGAUGGCGGGGUAACGGCCCACCAUGGCUUCGACGGGUAGCCGGCCUGAGAGGGCGACCGGCCACAUUGGGACUGAGAUACGGCCCAGACUCCUACGGGAGGCAGCAGUGGGGAAUAUUGCACAAUGGGCGCAAGCCUGAUGCAGCGACGCCGCGUGAGGGAUGGAGGCCUUCGGGUUGUAAACCUCUUUUGUUAGGGAGCAAGGCAUUUUGUGUUGAGUGUACCUUUCGAAUAAGCACCGGCUAACUACGUGCCAGCAGCCGCGGUAAUACGUAGGGUGCAAGCGUUAUCCGGAAUUAUUGGGCGUAAAGGGCUCGUAGGCGGUUCGUCGCGUCCGGUGUGAAAGUCCAUCGCUUAACGGUGGAUCCGCGCCGGGUACGGGCGGGCUUGAGUGCGGUAGGGGAGACUGGAAUUCCCGGUGUAACGGUGGAAUGUGUAGAUAUCGGAAAAGAAACACCA